CGGAAUCAUUGGGCGUAAAGCGCGCGCAGGCGGUCCUUUAAGUCUGAUGUGAAAGCCCACGGCUCAACCGUGGAGGGUCAUUGGAAACUGGGGGACUUGAGUGCAGAAGAGGAAAGCGGAAUUCCAAGUGUAGCGGUGAAAUGCGUAGAGAUUUGGAGGAACACCAGUGGCGAAGGCGGCUUUCUGGUCUGUAACUGACGCUGAGGCGCGAAAGCGUGGGGAGCAAACAGGAUUAGAUACCCUGGUAGUCCACGCCGUAAACGAUGAGUGCUAAGUGUUAGGGGGUUUCCGCCCCUUAGUGCUGCAGCUAACGCAUUAAGCACUCCGCCUGGGGAGUACGGUCGCGAGACUGAAACUCAAA
rnacentral:rRNA from 1 species